UAAAAGAUGGUUACUUUGCUCAAGUU
rnacentral:piRNA from 1 species